rnacentral:rRNA from 1 species
UAGGGAAUCUUCGGCAAUGGACGAAAGUCUGACCGAGCAACGCCGCGUGAGUGAAGAAGGUUUUCGGAUCGUAAAACUCUGUUGUUAGAGAAGAACAAGGACGUUAGUAACUGAACGUCCCCUGACGGUAUCUAACCAGAAAGCCACGGCUAACUACGUGCCAGCAGCCGCGGUAAUACGUAGGUGGCAAGCGUUGUCCGGAUUUAUUGGGCGUAAAGCGAGCGCAGGCGGUUUCUUAAGUCUGAUGUGAAAGCCCCCGGCUCAACCGGGGAGGGUCAUUGGAAAUUGGGAGACUUGAGUGCAGAAGAGGAGAGUGGAAUUCCAUGUGUAGCGGUGAAAUGCGUAGAUAUAUGGAGGAACACCAGUGGCGAAGGCGGCUCUCUGGUCUGUAACUGACGCUGAGGCUCGAAAGCGUGGGGAGCAAACAGG